rnacentral:rRNA from 1 species
UAGGGAAUCUUCCGCAAUGGACGCAAGUCUGACGGAGCAACGCCGCGUGAGUGAAGAAGGAUUUCGGUUCGUAAAACUCUGUUGUUAGAGAAGAACAGCGCAUAGAGUAACUGUUAUGCGUGUGACGGUAUCUAACCAGAAAGCCACGGCUAACUACGUGCCAGCAGCCGCGGUAAUACGUAGGUGGCAAGCGUUGUCCGGAUUUAUUGGGCGUAAAGCGAGCGCAGGCGGACAAUUAAGUCUGAUGUGAAAGCCCCCGGCUCAACCGGGGAGGGUCAUUGGAAACUGGUUGACUUGAGUGCAGAAGAGGAGAGUGGAAUUCCAUGUGUAGCGGUGAAAUGCGUAGAUAUAUGGAGGAACACCAGUGGCGAAGGCGACUCUCUGGUCUGUAACUGACGCUGAGGCUCGAAAGCGUGGGUAGCAAACAGG